rnacentral:rRNA from 1 species
CUGUCGCUUCCCUUUGUUACAGCCAUUGUAGCACGUGUGUAGCCCAAGACGUAAGGGGCAUGAUGAUUUGACGUCGUCCCCACCUUCCUCCGAGUUGUCCCCGGCAGUCUCACCAGAGUCCCCGGCAUUAUCCGCUGGUAACUGGCAACAAGGGUUGCGCUCGUUGCGGGACUUAACCCAACAUCUCACGACACGAGCUGACGACAACCAUGCACCACCUGUCUCUGCUCCCCCGAAGGGACCUCAUGUUUCCAUGAGCUUAGCAGGAUGUCAAGCCUUGGUAAGGUUCUUCGCGUUGCUUCGAAUUAAACCACAUGCUCCGCUGCUUGUGCGGGCCCCCGUCAAUUCCUUUGAGUUUCAACCUUGCGGCCGUACUCCCCAGGCGGAAUACUUAUUGCGUUUGCUGCGGCACAGAGGGAGUUGAUACCCCCUACACCUAGUAUUCAUCGUUUACAGCGUGGACUACCAGGGGUAUCUAAUCCUGUUUGCUCCCCACGCUUUCGUGCCUCAGUGUCAGUUACAGUCCAGAAAGCCGCCUUC